CUCCAAGUUGGAACUUUGACAACACCAAAAGAAGAUGAACACUGAAGUCUUGGAACCCUGGGAAUGAACCUGGAAAAAUUCAAAAUAUGGUCUAGUCUUAGGCAAGUUUCCUUGUCCGGCUCAGCUGCUGAGACCACAUAUCUGGACCCUCAGUGCCCUGGCAACAGCUCUGUGCAGGCAGGAUGAAGCACAGGCUUAGGUCAAGCAAUCAGCCGUCAAAAUCCACACUCUCACCUACUAGUGGAAUAUCUGCAAUUACUUUGACCAAAAGCCAGAAGCCGGCCAGUUUGAGUGUAGCUGUUACAGCUUUGUGUUCUAAACCUAAGAAAUGGGGACCCCUCACAUGAGAGUGGGGAGGCUUCUGGAUGUGCUACAAAUUCCAUUUCAUUUUCAUGAACUCCAGUGUUAAUUAAUAAAAUCUCAAGGUUCUCCCCCCU
rnacentral:lncRNA from 10 species